rnacentral:sRNA from 1 species
GCUGGCUGAGGUGGCGCACACCUGUACUCCCAGGGGCUCAGGAGGCUGAGGCAGGAGGAUCAGGAGUUCAAAGCCAGCCUCAGCAACAGCGAGGUGCUAACCAACUCAGUGAGACCCUGUCUCUA